UAGCUGUGUCUGUGCUGUAGCUGUGUCUGUGUACGUGCUGUCGCUGUGUCUGUGUUGUAGCUGUAGCUGCGUCCGUGCUGUAGCUGCGUCCGUGCUGUAGCUGUGUCUGUGUGUGUGCUGUAGGUGUGUGUGUGCUGUAGGUGUGUCUGUGCUGUAGCUGUGUCUGUGUUGUAGCUGCGUCUGUGCUGUAGCUGCGUCUGUGCUGUAGCUGUGUCUGUGUCUGUGUCUGUGCUGUAGCUGUGUUUGUGUCUGUGCUGUAGCUGUGUCUGUAGCUGUGCUGUAGCUGUGUCUGUAGCUGUGUCUGUAGCUGUGUCUGUGUCUGUGCUGUAUCUGUGUCUCUGCUGUAGUUGU